CUCGCCACAAGCAGCAAUGCUUUCCUCCUCAACUCCCCAAUUCGUGUCGUCCUUUUCUCCUUCCAUUCCUGCCAACGUUUUCAAUCCCCCGACCUCCCUAGGUCCUCCACUGUCUGAACGGCAUGGAACUCUCUCGGUCUAUCCCUGUGCAGUGCAGAGGGGCGGAAAAUCGGCGACGGGAGGACGGUGCCAUCGGGUGGCGGAUCCGGCAUUCCCCUUCGCUUCCGGCGGCCGAUUCGGCGAGUGGGAUAAGCGAUGGCCAGGCUUCUCCCCGUCCGUACGGCGUCAGAUACGGUGUCGCGAUGAGCCGGAUGCCUUUUGUAUCGUGGAUCCGAUCGACCGGAGUCCAUGGUGGUUGACGCCGUCAGAAGCUGAGCCGGUGAUGAUGGUGGCCAUCGACGAGGCGACAGUUGCUAGGGCUUCAGGCCCUAUUUCGGGGAGGAUGUUUGCGGCAGCUCUUUGUCCUUCGCGUCGGCAGAGGCACGGAACAGUCCAUCAUGUGGGGAUUAUCCCCGGCCGAUGCGCUGGAAUCUGAUCUUUAUUCCUGUUCGCUGGGACGGGAUAUACUUGCGGCCUCCAAAGCCUUUGAACGCGAUGCAGAUCGAUGGUGUUUCAAUGGUGGCUUGACCACAUGACGAGUGUCCGGCCGGCUUGAUUGCAUCGGCGAGCCUGGGGUGUUGGUGCAUAUUUUGAGUUUCUGUGGGUUUCGCGUUGCUUUGGUGACUUCCGUCUUUGUGUCUUUACGCGUAUGUAUUGUGCUCGGCAAAUCUGAAUCCCUCUACAGGUACAUCUUCAUCAACCUGAGUUGAAGCCCACACCGUAACUCAUCUCCUUCCUGUACACUUUGCCGGUGGCGGCCGGCCGAUGGCUGGGCGCAUCUGAAGCCCUGAAUUACUAACCUCCCUCCCUUAUGAGCUCCCCCUCCUAUAUAUAGCCUGAUGUUGAGUUUAUUUAUCCCCAAUCCAUGGACUCUUGCUUCCUAUCCGUUCAAUUUCUUCAUGUACUAGAUUCAACGUGUUUGUAUUUCAGGGCUGAUCAGUAACUGAUAGUAUGUUUUCGUCUGCAAUUGAUUGGCUGCCGUAUGCACUGCUAUUAAUCUUCCUUCGGCCAGAGAUCUCACUCAUCUUCAUCCGCCAUUUCAUUUUUUUUCUUAGUCAGGAUUUAUGUUUAGAUAACUAGAUUUAUGUGAAAUUUUACUCUGUCAUGUUUUUUAUGCAGGAAGGUCAUUAACAGAUGUCAAAUUAAUUCACCAUGUAUGUACCAGAGUUUGCUCUUGCAAUAUUUGACAAAGGUAUGAAACAUCUACACCCUCGAUGCCGCCUGGAACCUAUUUCAAUAUUGCCAAUUUUCCUGCAGCAUGUUAUUUUUUUGCUGUUAGAUUAUUAGUAUACCAUGAACUUGACAUGUUGAUCAUUUUUUACUUGCUUUCCUUUUGUAUGUUCACGGCGAGUCAAUGUUUGUAUUAUGAAUCCCAUCUCCAGCAUGUGUACCAAGUUAAACUACGAACAUUUUCAGGCAUCUCAAAACAUGGACAUGUUGUCCCUUCCAGGUUCCAUCACAAUUCACAAGUAGUGAGAGGAUUGUUAUUAUCCUUUGGAAUACUACUUUAUAGUCGAACUAUCCUAGAUAAUCAUCACCAGUUAGUGUAGUUGCUUCUGACGAUACUGAAAAAAUUUCAAACGAGGUACUGCUCAUAGAUCCGCAUAAAGGUCUAAAACACUUCAACACCUGCAAUAUACCAUAUAUUUAUCUAAUAAUUCUUCUCAUGCAGGUCAAUUGCUGAUAACAAUGAAUACGUACGAACCACCAUUACUGACAGAAAAUCAACAAAUCAACAUCCUGCUAGCACUACAAACAAGAAGAACGCAGGAAACAUGUCAGGACAGGUAGAGUAAUGCCCCAAGAAACAAAAACUCCAUCAAGGGCAUGCUAUGCUACAAUGAAGAUACAUGCUUCAGUUUCUACCAUGUCGAUUACCUAUAUACAGUAUAAAUAAUUUCUACUUUGAUCUCCACCUAUUAUAACUGAGAAAGGUUCUACUACUAGAUGUUCUUCAGUGGUAUAAAAUUACAAAUGUAUCAUCAUGUUGGACUAUAUGUAUCUGCAUCAAUUGCUAUUAGUGCGCACAUUUUCUCCAAACCUCCACUGCGAGGCAUGUGUUUUACUCUUCACCUUACAUCAAUGUACAUUGCCAGCUGUACAGAAUGUGCAAGUCAGCUUUACAGUGUAGUUACUUGAGUU